GACGAACGCUGGCGGCGUGCCUAAUACAUGCAAGUCGAACGCUUCUUUCCUCCCGAGUGCUUGCACUCAAUUGGAAAGAGGAGUGGCGGACGGGUGAGUAACAUGUGGGUAACCUACCCAUCAGAGGGGGAUAACACUUGGAAACAGGUGCUAAUACCGCAUAACAGUUUAUGCCGCAUGGCAUAAGAGUGAAAGGCGCUUUCGGGUGUCGCUGAUGGAUGGACCCGCGGUGCAUUAGCUAGUUGGUGAGGUAACGGCUCACCAAGGCCACGAUGCAUAGCCGACCUGAGAGGGUGAUCGGCCACACUGGGACUGAGACACGGCCCAGACUCCUACGGGAGGCAGCAGUAGGGAAUCUUCGGCAAUGGACGAAAGUCUGACCGAGCAACGCCGCGUGAGUGAAGAAGGUUUUCGGAUCGUAAAACUCUGUUGUUAGAGAAGAACAAGGACGUUAGUAACUGAACGUCCCCU
rnacentral:rRNA from 1 species